ACCACAAGGUCAGCAGUUAGCAAAGCAUGUCAAGAAUGGAGACAGAGGGGCUUCAACACGUGGCCACCCUAACUGGGCAAGCAGCACAUGAACAGUGCCUGAUCGUCUCCCCAGCCAUGUGCGGCUCCUAUGUACACACUCAGAUGCACACUGAACAUGAGGACACGAGGUCAGAGGAAAGAGGUGGUAGGAGGCUGGAAAGGUUGAGCCCUGUAGCAGUCAACUGGCCAGGCUCCAUGAUAACCUCAGCAAGGGCUGACCUGACCUGAGAAAGUUCCUCCUUGAAGGGUCCUGGGAAGCAGAAUGCUCAGUGGACAGAACAGAGAGGUGUGACUGGAUGGACCUGGGCCCUGUCCUGACAUUAUUCUUUAUUUACUGGGCAAGUGGGCAAACUAAAUCUUUUUGAUCCUCAAUUUGAUUGUUACUACUGCUCAAUCUGUAAAAUAAGGGACGAAAGUGCCCCCUUCAGGAGAGUACUGUAGGAAUUAACAGAAGAGGACACAUGAAAAGCCCAGCUUAAC